rnacentral:rRNA from 1 species
CGCGUAGGAAUCUACCCAGUGGUGGGGACCAACAGUCGGAAACGGCUGCUAAUACCGCAUACGCCCUGAGGGGAAGCGGGGCCUCUCUUCGGAGACCUCGCGCCAUUGGAUGAGCCUGCGUUGGAUUAGCUAGUUGGUGGGGUAAAGGCCUACCAAGGCGACGAUCCAUAGCUGGUCUGAGAGGACGAUCAGCCACACUGGGACUGAGACACGGCCCAGACUCCUACGGGAGGCAGCAGUGGGGAAUAUUGCGCAAUGGGCGAAAGCCUGACGCAGCCAUGCCGCGUGUGUGAAGAAGGC